rnacentral:rRNA from 1 species
UCAAGGAUCGGAUGAUGUGGAGUGGAAAGACGUAGGGGGCAAGCGUUGGAGGGAAUAAGGGGGCGACAGGAGGUCGUAGGAGUGUUGGGGCGCCGGCUGUGAAAGAGCGGGGUUCAGAUACGAGCUUGCAGUCGAUACGGGCGGACUAGGGUUCGGCGGGGGAGACGGGAAUUCCUGGUGUAGCGGUGAAAUGCGCAGAUAUCAGGAGGAACACCGGUGGCGAAGGCGGGUCUCUGGGCCGAUACUGUCGCUGAGGAGCGAAAGCGUGGGGAGCGAACAGGAUUAGAUACCCCAGUAGUC